rnacentral:lncRNA from 1 species
ACGUUUUUGGCAUAAUUUUACGGUUCUACUUGGGGGUGUGUAGCAAUAAGUUUGGGGGAAAAAUCAUCAACAAGUCCUUCCCAUUGUCUCUAUCAUCCCCACAUGGGUCCAAAACAAGCACAUGCAAUCUCACUCUCCUCUUCAUCUAAAUUUUCUUCCUAUUACCACGAAGAGGAGGUCUUGGACGAGAGCAGAUUUGUCAGUUUGGAAGCGCAGCAAGACUGUUAUCGGAGUAUGGCCAAAUCUCUUGUGAAGGAACUGGGAUUUCAACCUGCAAAAUAGGAUGGCCAACUUUUGCAGAUGAUACGCGAACGAGAAUGGGUUGGUUUAACUGCAUCUCCUAUGCCCAUCCCCGUGGGGAUUGUUAGAGAAUUUUAUGCUAAUGCCACGGAGUUGCUAACAAGAGGCAUAACGAUUGUUCGAGCAGAAUAGGUGAAUUAUCGCCCUUCCACGAUCAGAGAAGUAUUCAAUAUAUAUGAUGCACCACCCACCGGGUUUGACAAUUAGUUAGAAGGCGAAUACUUGGAGACAAAUCUCGCAGUUGUGAUUUCUGAUCUGUGUAUCCCGGGC